rnacentral:rRNA from 1 species
CUUUGAUCAUGGCUCAGGAUGAACGCUAGCUACAGGCUUAACACAUGCAAGUCGAGGGGCAGCGGGAUUGAAGCUUGCUUCAAUUGCCGGCGACCGGCGCACGGGUGAGUAACGCGUAUCCAACCUUCCGUACACUCAGGGAUAGCCUUUCGAAAGAAAGAUUAAUACCUGAUGGUAUGAUGAGAUUGCAUGAUAGCAUCAUUAAAGAUUUAUCGGUGUACGAUGGGGAUGCGUUCCAUUAGGUAGUAGGCGGGGUAACGGCCCACCUAGCCAACGAUGGAUAGGGGUUCUGAGAGGAAGGUCCCCCACAUUGGAACUGAGACACGGUCCAAACUCCUACGGGAGGCAGCAGUGAGGAAUAUUGGUCAAUGGACGAGAGUCUGAACCAGCCAAGUAGCGUGAAGGAUGAAGGUCCUACGGAUUGUAAACUUCUUUUAUAAGGGAAUAAACCCUCCCACGUGUGGGAGCUUGUAUGUACCUUAUGAAUAAGCAUCGGCUAACUCCGUGCCAGCAGCCGCGGUAAUACGGAGGAUGCGAGCGUUAUCCGGAUUUAUUGGGUUUAAAGGGAGCGCAGACGGGUCGUUAAGUCAGCUGUGAAAGUUUGGGGCUCAACCUUAAAAUUGCAGUUGAUACUGGCGUCCUUGAGUGCGGUUGAGGUGUGCGGAAUUUGUGGUGUAGCGGUGAAAUGCUUAGAUAUCACGAAGAACUCCGAUUGCGAAGGCAGCACACUAAGCCGUAACUGACGUUCAUGCUCGAAAGUGUGGGUAUCAAACAGGAUUAGAUACCCUGGUUGUCCACACGGUAAACGAUGGAUACUCGCUGUUGGCGAUAUACAGUCAGCGGCUUAGCGAAAGCGUUAAGUAUCCCACCUGGGGAGUACGCCGGCAACGGUG